rnacentral:rRNA from 1 species
GAUGAACGCUGGCGGCAUGCCUAAAACAUGCAAGUCGAGCGGUAAGGCCCCUUCGGGGGUACGACGAGCGGCGGACGGGUGAGUAACGCGUGGGAAUCUACCCAAACUGAGGGAUAAGCAUUGGAAACGAUGUCUAAUACCGCAUAUGGUCUUCGGAUUAAAGCUUCGGCGGUUUGGGAAGAGCCCGCGUAAGAUUAGCUAGUUGGUGAGGUAAAGGCUCACCAAGGCGACGAUCUUUAACUGGUUUGAGAGGAUGAUCAGUCACACUGGAACUGAGACACGGUCCAGACUCCUACGGGAGGCAGCAGUUAGGAAUUUUCCACAAUGGGCGAAAGCCUGAUGGAGCAAUGCCGCGUGCAGGAUGAAGGCCUUAGGGUUGUAAACUGCUUUUAUACGUGAAGAAUAUGACGGUAACGUAUGAAUAAGGAUCGGCUAACUCCGUGCCAGCAGCCGCGGUAAU